AUUAAACUCACAUCUCGAUAAGUACAAGUAUAUUAGAAAAUCAAAAGGUAUUGUUUUCUCGUGAGAUUCAAAGUGUUGUUGCAUCCUCUCAAAACUUCACUAAUGGCGACCAAAAAAUCUCCAUCUUUUAUAUUACUUUCAUUGAUGGUGUUUGCUCUUAUCCUUCUGCCCAUAAUUUCAGGAUCACAAUUAAUCAGAUUAUGUAAGGAAGGAUGUCCAGAUGCAAGAGAAUGUGACAGAUUUUGCAAAUCCUUAGGAUGGUAUGAAGGGGUUUGCCUGAAACAAAACACUCUUUGUUGCUGCAAAGACAAUUAUCCUCCAUUAUCUAGUCCUUCAGAUUAAGAAUUAAUGUCUCAUUUGAUAUGUAUCCUCAACUAAUUAUCUAUGAAUAAAAAAAAUUAUAUUAUUUAAAAUGAUAGA